rnacentral:rRNA from 1 species
AGAGUUUGAUCCUGGCUCAGGACGAACGCUGGCGGCGUGCCUAAUACAUGCAAGUCGAGCGGACAGAUGGGAGCUUGCUCCCUGAUGUUAGCGGCGGACGGGUGAGUAACACGUGGGUAACCUGCCUGUAAGACUGGGAUAACUCCGGGAAACCGGGGCUAAUACCGGAUGCUUGUUUGAACCGCAUGGUUCAAACAUAAAAGGUGGCUUCGGCUACCACUUACAGAUGGACCCGCGGCGCAUUAGCUAGUUGGUGAGGUAAUGGCUCACCAAGGCAACGAUGCGUAGCCGACCUGAGAGGGUGAUCGGCCACACUGGGACUGAGACACGGCCCAGACUCCUACGGGAGGCAGCAGUAGGGAAUCUUCCGCAAUGGACGAAAGUCUGACGGAGCAACGCCGCGUGAGUGAUGAAGGUUUUCGGAUCGUAAAGCUCUGUUGUUAGGGAAGAACAAGUGCCGUUCGAAUAGGGCGGCACCUUGACGGUACCUAACCAGAAAGCCACGGCUAACUACGUGCCAGCAGCCGCGGUAAUACGUAGGUGGCAAGCGUUGUCCGGAAUUAUUGGGCGUAAAGGGCUCGCAGGCGGUUUCUUAAGUCUGAUGUGAAAGCCCCCGGCUCAACCGGGGAGGGUCAUUGGAAACUGGGGAACUUGAGUGCAGAAGAGGAGAGUGGAAUUCCACGUGUAGCGGUGAAAUGCGUAGAGAUGUGGAGGAACACCAGUGGCGAAGGCGACUCUCUGGUCUGUAACUGACGCUGAGGAGCGAAAGCGUGGGGAGCGAACAGGAUUAGAUACCCUGGUAGUCCACGCCGUAAACGAUGAGUGCUAAGUGUUAGGGGGUUUCCGCCCCUUAGUGCUGCAGCUAACGCAUUAAGCACUCCGCCUGGGGAGUACGGUCGCAGACUGAAACUCAAAGAUGACGGGGCCCGC